UACAGAGGUGGCAAGCGUUGUUCGGAAUUACUGGGCGUAAAGGGCGCGUAGGCGGUUCGUUAAGUCCUGUGUGAAAUCCCCCGGCUCAACUGGGGAACUGCACAGGAAACUAGCGGGCUUGAGUUCGGGAGAGGGAAGCGGAAUUCCGGGUGUAGCGGUGAAAUGCGUAGAUAUCCGGAGGAACACCGGUGGCGAAGGCGGCUUCCUGGACCGACACUGACGCUGAGGCGCGAAAGCUAGGGGAGCAACAGG
rnacentral:rRNA from 1 species